CGGCGGCUUAUCAUGCAAGUCCUGGGACGAUAGCAAUAUUGGACCGGCCACGGGUGCGUAACACGUACACAACUUUCCGUCAAGUGGGGGAUAGCCUAAAGAAAUUUGGAUUAAUACCCCAUAGAAUAAUGAUGUGGCAUCAUAUUAUUAUUAAAGCUCCGGCGCUUGAUGAUGGGUGUGCGGCUGAUUAGGUAGUUGGCGGGGUAACGGCCCACCAAGCCUGCGAUCAGUAGCUGAUGUGAGAGCAUGAUCAGCCACACGGGCACUGAGACACGGGCCCGACUCCUACGGGAGGCAGCAGUAAGGAAUAUUGGUCAAUGGGCGCAAGCCUGAACCAGCCAUGCCGCGUGGAGGAUGAAGGUCCUCUGGAUUGUAAACUUCUUUUAUUUGGGACGAAAAAUAGAGAUUCUUCUUUACUUGACGGUACCAGAUGAAUAAGCACCGGCUAACUCCGUGCCAGCAGCCGCGGUAAU
rnacentral:rRNA from 1 species